AUACGAAGGUGGCGAGCGUUGUUCGGAUUUACUGGGCGUAAAGAGCACGUAGGCGGUUGGGUAAGCCUCUUGGGAAAGCUCCCGGCUUAACCGGGAAAGGUCGAGGGGAACUACUCAGCUAGAGGACGGGAGAGGAGCGCGGAAUUCCCGGUGUAGCGGUGAAAUGCGUAGAUAUCGGGAAGAAGGCCGGUGGCGAAGGCGGCGCUCUGGAACGUACCUGACGCUGAGGUGCGAAAGCGUGGGGGGCAAACAGGAUUAGAAACCCCGGUAGUCC
rnacentral:rRNA from 1 species